rnacentral:rRNA from 1 species
GUGUCAGCAGCCGCGGUAAAACGUAGGAGGCGAGCGUUAUCCGGAUUUACUGGGCGUAAAGCGCACGCAGGUGGCACAGCAAGUUGGAUGUGAAAGCUCCUGGCUUAACUGGGAGAGGCCAUUCGAGACUGCUGAGCUUGAGGUUGGGAGAGGGGUGUGGAAUUCCCGGUGUAGUGGUGGAAUGCGUAGAUAUCGGGAGGAACACCUGUGGCGAAAGCGGCACCCUGGCCCACACCUGACGCUGAGGUGCGAAAGCGUGGGGAGUAAACAGGAUUAGAUACCCUGGUAAUCCACGCCGUAAACGAUGUCAACUGGGUGUCGGUAGUGUUACACUAUCGGUGCCGAAGCAAACGCGUUAAGUUGACCGCCUGGGGACUACGGCCGCAAGGCUAAA